UUGAAAGUUGAGGUGGCUGUAGCCGACUUUAGCCAGAUGUUAUGAUCUAAUUAUGGAAAGACACGUAUCAGUGUUCAUUCUAUUAAAACCCUUUCAUCAGCUGAACCUACCCUAUCUCAUUUGUGCUCUCUGUUCUUUACCAGCAUUUAACUUCUCAGAAUUUCCAUCGGUGCGGCGCGACUAGAACGUGGACUGUGAUUUUGAAUUACUGAAGUUAAAUUUGCAAGUCAAGUUAAGGCAACUGAUGUUGGAGACGCGUGGAGGGUCGAAUGGGCGCGUCGAAUCUUUUUGAGUCAAAAUAAAUUAUCUUCUUUUGAACUUUGUACAGUAUCAGAUACUUUUGUUUUAGUAACAUCGUUGUUUCUUUGUCAAACUGUUUUUCAGGUCAUGUUUGACUUUGUAAGUUAUAAUAUCGUUGUGUUAUGUAUAUAUUAGAGUUUGAUAUUUUGAAGUUAUCAAAAAUUAUUGAUUAUACGAUGUUAGGUGUUAAAUAGUUUCUUUAAUUUAUAUUUUAUUCUUUAGUUAGAUUAGGGUGUUACAGCAUGGUAUCAGAGCAGGUCUACUUUCCUGUAGACUCUGCAAAAUGAUUUUUGCAUAAAAAUUUUUAAAAGUCAUUUGCAUUAACGCCAUUCGACUACCACGCACUCCGGCUUCAAGGUAAAUGU